UGGGGAAUAUUGCACAAUGGGCGCAAGCCUGAUGCAGCGACGCCGCGUGGGGGAUGACGGCCUUCGGGUUGUAAACUCCUUUCGCUAGGGACGAAGCUUUUUGUGACGGUACCUAGAUAAGAAGCACCGGCUAACUACGUGCCAGCAGCCGCGGUAAUACGUAGGGUGCGAGCGUUGUCCGGAAUUACUGGGCGUAAAGGGCUCGUAGGUGGUUUGUCGCGUCGUCUGUGAAAUUCCGGGGCUUAACUCCGGGCGUGCAGGCGAUACGGGCAUAACUUGAGUACUGUAGGGGUAACUGGAAUUCCUGGUGUAGCGGUGAAAUGCGCAGAUAUCAGGAGGAACACCGAUGGCGAAGGCAGGUUACUGGGCAGUUACUGACGCUGAGGAGCAAAAGCAUGGGUAGCGAACAGG
rnacentral:rRNA from 1 species